rnacentral:rRNA from 1 species
AUUGAACGCUGGCGGCAGGCCUAACACAUGCAAGUCGAACGAGUGGCGGACGGGUGAGUAAUGUCUGGGAAACUGCCUGAUGGAGGGGGAUAACUACUGGAAACGGUAGCUAAUACCGCAUACCAUCGGAUGUGCCCAGAUGGGAUUAGCUAGUAGGUGGGGUAAAGGCUCACCUAGGCGACGAUCCCUAGCUGGUCUGAGAGGAUGACCGGCAACACUGGAACUGAGACACGUGCCAGACUCCUAGGGGAGGCAGCAGUGGGGAAGAUUGCACAAUGGGCGCAAGCCUGAUGCAGCCAUGCGGGGUGUAUGAAGAAGGCCUUGGGGUUGUAAAGUACUUUCAGCGGGGAGGCGUUACCCGCAGAAGAAGCACCGGCGAACUCGGUGCCAGCAGCCGCGGUAAAC